rnacentral:rRNA from 1 species
GACGAACGCUGGCGGCGUGCCUAAUACAUGCAAGUUGAGCGCUGAAGGUUGGUACUUGUACCAACUGGAUGAGCAGCGAACGGGUGAGUAACGCGUGGGGAAUCUGCCUUUGAGCGGGGGACAACAUUUGGAAACGAAUGCUAAUACCGCAUAAAAACUUUAAACACAAGUUUUAAGUUUGAAAGAUGCAAUUGCAUCACUCAAAGAUGAUCCCGCGUUGUAUUAGCUAGUUGGUGAGGUAAAGGCUCACCAAGGCGAUGAUACAUAGCCGACCUGAGAGGGUGAUCGGCCACAUUGGGACUGAGACACGGCCCAAACUCCUACGGGAGGCAGCAGUAGGGAAUCUUCGGCAAUGGACGAAAGUCUGACCGAGCAACGCCGCGUGAGUGAAGAAGGUUUUCGGAUCGUAAAACUCUGUUGGUAGAGAAGAACUUUGGUGAGAGUGGAAAGCUCAUCAAGUGACGGUAACUACCCAGAAAGGGACGGCUAACUAC